rnacentral:rRNA from 1 species
AUUGAACGCUGGCGGCAGGCCUAACACAUGCAAGUCGAGCGGAUGACGGGAGCUUGCUCCUUGAUUCAGCGGCGGACGGGUGAGUAAUGCCUAGGAAUCUGCCUGGCAGUGGGGGACAACGUUCCGAAAGGAGCGCUAAUACCGCAUACGUCCUACGGGAGAAAGUGGGGGAUCUUCGGACCUCACGCUAUCAGAUGAGCCUAGGUCGGAUUAGCUAGUUGGUGAGGUAAAGGCUCACCAAGGCGACGAUCCGUAACUGGUCUGAGAGGAUGAUCAGUCACACUGGAACUGAGACACGGUCCAGACUCCUACGGGAGGCAGCAGUGGGGAAUAUUGGACAAUGGGCGAAAGCCUGAUCCAGCCAUGCCGCGUGUGUGAAGAAGGUCUUCGGAUUGUAAAGCACUUUAAGUUGGGAGGAAGGGCAGUAAGUUAAUACCUUGCUGUUUUGACGUUACCGACAGAAUAAGCACCGGCUAACUCUGUG